UUUGGCGAGUGAAGCGGGAACAGCUCAAAUUUGAAAUCUGGCCUUCGGGUCCGAGUUGUAAUUUGCAGAGGAUGCUUUUGGUGCGGUGCGUUCCGAGUUCCCUCGAACGGGACGCCUUAGAGGGUGAGAGCCCCGUAGGGUUGGCCACCAAGCCAUUGUAAAGCUCCUUCGACGAGUCGAGUAGUUUGGGUAUGCUGCUCAAAAUGGGAGGUAUAUUUCUUCUAAAGCUAAAUACUGGCCAGAGACCGAUAGCGCACAAGUAGAGUGAUCGAAAGAUGAAAAGCACUUUGAAAAGAGGGUUAAAUAGCACGUGAAAUUGUUGAAAGGGAAGGGUUUAUGACCAGACCUUUUCUAGGGGGAUCAUCCGGUGUUCUCACCGGUGCACUUGCCCUAGUUGAGGCCAGCAUCGGAAUCUGUAGGGGGAUAAAAGCUUCGGGAAUGUGGCUCCUUCGGGAGUGUUAUAGCCCGUUGCAUAAUACCGUUACGGGGACCGAGGUCCGCGCUUCGGCUAGGAUGCUGGCGUAAAGGUUAUUAACCACCCGUCUUGUAACACGGACCAUGGAGUCGAACAUUUGUGCGAGUGUUUGGGUGUUAAACCGUCACGCGUAAUGAAAGUGAACGGAGGUGAGAGCCCUUCGGGGUGCAUCAUCGACCGAUCCUGAUGUCUUCGGAUGGAUUAGAGUAAGAGCAUAAGUGUUCGGACCCGAAAGAUGGUGAACUAUGCGUGGAUAGGGUGAAGCCAGAGGAAACUCUGGUGGAGGCUCGCAGCGGUUCUGACGUGCAAAUGGAAU
rnacentral:rRNA from 1 species